UGUUUAAUUAAAACAAAGCAUCGUGAAGGCCCGAGGUGCGUGUUGACGUAAUGUGAUUUCUGCCCAGUGCUCCUCAUGUCAAAGUGAAGAAAUUCAAUGAAGCGUGGGUAAACGGUGGGAGUAACUAUGACUCAGGGCUAGUUGAUUCAGCAAGUGAGUUGUUGCGGAUU
rnacentral:ncRNA from 1 species